UUUUUUUUAAAAAGGAAAAUAAUUCAAUAAUGAAAAGCCAUACGGCAUCUACAGAUAUAAUCGAAAUUGAACAAACGCAGAAUCAUAUCGCCGUUGAAUCCUUCCUUCUUCGGUAGGCAACCAAGCGAUUUUUUGAAGAGAUAUAUACAUGCUGUAAUAUUCUCAAUGUUGUUUUGAGCAAUCGACCAUAAAUGCAUCACCAUACAAACCUUUAUCAUUGAAUCAGCAUCAUGAAAAUCCCGCAGAUCUGUAAUCCCGGACAUGAUGAACACACAAAACCCAAACAAAAAUCAAACUCUCACAUAAGGAGAGACCAAACAAAACCCAAAUAAAUUGGGAACUUAUUGAAGAAAACAAAAGAUUAAUUAAUAGUAAGAAAAGAAGACAAUAAUGGGGCUUUCCACCGGUGAAAUCCGAUGGAAGCCCCUCGGAUAAAAGAGACGGCGGCUAGGUGAGAGAAAUUUAGGGUUUUGUGAGAAGAGAGUGUUUUUUUAUAUGAUAAUAUAUUUUAUAAAUAAAUAAUUGAAUUCAUUAAAUAAAACUAUGUUUUUCAAGAUUAAUAACACCUAAUUUUUUUUUUUUUUUUGAAAAUAACACCUAAAUUUUAUUUAGUCCCCAGAUAUCAAUAAUUUCUAGUUAAAAGUUUUAACACUUUAUUGAAAUUUAACAUUGAUAGAACAGAAAAACAUGACAGAGAAAAUUGUUAUGUGCACCUGACAGUGAUUGUAAUAUUAUACUCCCUCCGUCCCCUUUUACAUGUCCCUUUUGAAAAAAAAAUUUGUCCCAAAUUACUUGUCCACUUCUCUUUUCAAAGCAACUUUUUGUAUGUUUUUUCAAAAUGUAACAACUUCCAAUGUUUGACUAGGAUAUAUAUAUACACAACUCUAUCUAAUUCAUUACAUUUAUUAGGGAUAUGUAUGAAAACAAGAUAUUCACCUAAUAUUUUCUUAAGAUGCGUUAUUUUUUCAAAAGAGACAAGUAAAAAGGGACGGAGGGAGUAUAGUUUUAGUAAUUUUGUGGACUGUUCAGGCUGAAAGAAGAUAAUUUGACCCGGGUUGGGCUUUACAAGUAAUUAAAUGUUAGUCAUAAAAUUUUAAAAAUCAGUUUAACCACUCGGGCUAAGGCCCACCGGAGCCUGAACUACAGUCCGUUCCUGCUGGUACAUACUCAACACUCAAACAGAUAAUAAUAUAAACAACAUAGCAAGCAAAUUCGAACAGGAAAACAAGUGGACUCAGAAAUCAGCUACAGCUACUAGGACUGAACAACACUCGACGCAACUCGAUCUUGAAAGAAAAGCACCAAGAUAAACUAUAACUAAAACUGUUUGACGCAACUCAGGAGCAGAAAAUUACUACCACAAAAAAAAAAAAAAAAAUCCAAACAAACAGACUUGUGACUCGGACAAACGAACUCGGUACUCAGCGACUCGAUUCGGAAACGUGAAAGAAGCAAAACAGAACAGUGACUCGGUAAAAGAAAAAUGACUCGGUUGCUUUAAAUAUUAUCCGGAAAUAUAAAAUUUACCGCUGAUUAAAUUUCAUAUAUAAUACACGUACCUUUCUUCUGAAAUCCAUGUCAUUGACCCCUGAUGAUAGUGUAAUUCAGGCUUUCUCCAGAGUCCAUGAAAAAUGAAUUGCUGGCUCACAUAUUCUUGCAGACAAAUACGACCCUACAUGCUACAAUAGUAAGGAUUCAUUCUUACACCAAUUCAUAUUAGGGAUUUUUGCAGUAAGCCAUGGUCACCAAAAGUAACAAAAACAGUAAUUUGUUCAUUCUCAAUCAAUUUAAAUGUAGGUAGUUCGAGAUGUGAUACGCAACUGUUGAAUGUUGGUUAUUACAAUGUGUUUUGUGUAACCUAACAUUCAAAAGUUGACUAUCUCAUCUCGAACUACUUACCUUUAAAUUGAUUGAGAACGAACGAAUUAAUGUUUUUUACUUUUUGUGAUCAUAGAUUACUGUAAAAAUCCUGAAUAUGAAUUAGUAUAUGAAUGGAUCCCUUACUAUUGUAGCGUGGAGGGUCAUAUUUGUCUGCAAGAAUAUGUGAGCCAGCAGUUCAUUUUCCAUGGACUCUGGAGAAAGUCUGAAUUACACUAUCGUCGGAGGUCGAUGACAUAGAUUUUAGAAUAGAGGUACGUGUAUAUAGAGAGAUACGUGUAUUAUAUACGAAAUUUAAUCAGCAGUAAAUUUUAUAUUUUCGAAUAAAUUUUAUAUUUUGAAUAUAUAUUACUCAUUCAUAUUUACAACAAACUUAAUACGGUCAUACAAGAAGUCAACGCACAAGAUUUGAGCAAAAUGUUAAACAACGCUGGUAUAGUUGCAAAUGCUAAUACUCUGUAUACCAGAGAUCGUAUUGAAAAUGCAAUUCAACAGAGAUCAGAUUUCUGUGUUUUCAUUAAAUGUGAUACCAAUUUAGCUAAUGCUCUAAUCCUGAAACAAGUACGCCUUUGUACGAGUUAUCAUGUCAUGGAAAAUGUUAUAGAAUCGCAUCGUACACAUUGCACACGUCCAUCAUCUAUGAUCUCUGGAUAUGUUGCCACACGUAGAUGAUGGACGUGUGUAAUGUGCACAAUGCGGUACUAUAACAUUGUUUAUGACAUGAUAACUCGUACAGAAGCGUAGUUGUGUUUGGACUAGAAUAUUAACUUAAUUAAUAUCACAUUUAAUGAAAGCACGAAACUUGAUAUCUGUUCAAUUGUAUUUCCAAUGCGAUCUCUCGUAUACAAAUUAUUAGCAUUUGGAACUAUACUAGUGUUGUCUAACAUUCUGCUCAAAUCCUGUACUUUGACUUCUUGUACGAUCAUAUUAAGUUCGUUGUAAAUAUGAAUGAGUAAUAUAUAUUCAAAAUUAAUUAUAAUAUAAUAUAAUAGGAUUUCGUAAGUACGAGUACAAUCAAAAAUUAAAAAACGCAAAUAAUUAAUCAAAUUGUAACUAAUAUAUUAUAUAAUAUAUGUAAAAACUAAAACUAAAUCCUAAAAUAUAAUUAUAUUUUAAACUAAUUCAAACAUUAUUUUUUACUUGACAAUUUAAAUUAUACAGAAUUUACACAUAAUUAAAAAAUAAAUAAAAUUUAAUAAUUAGUAUCCCUAUGAUAAUGAUUAAAAAUAAUUUAAGCAUCUAAAAGUCUGAUAAGCUUGAUGCUGUGGCACCCUUAAUUAAGCUGUACAACGUUUUUUUUUAUUUAGGGGUCGUUUGGCUGGGUUUAAAAGAAGUGACUUAUUGCUUAAAAUAAAGAAGUGGAUUAGAAUUGAGAAGUUGGUUUGGACUUAUAAGCUAUAGAAGUGUUUGGAUACCAUGAUUUAUAAGUUUUUUAAGUGUUUGGAUAACAUAACUUAUAAGUUGACAUAGUUUAGUAAUUUCGUAAUAUAAUAAUUUAUUUUCUUUUAAAAAAUAAAUUAUAAUAAUAUAAGACCUUUUAUUAUUAAUACAUGAAAUAUUUUACAAAUUCAAUAUUUUAAACUCUGCAUCAAAAGAAAAAAUUAAUAACGGCAGAUAAUACAAGUAAAAAGGUACAUCAUUUAUUUAAUACUUAUAUUUAUUUAAUAUAAGUUCAAAGGUAUCUUUUAUUAUUAAUAUAUGAAAUAGUUUUGCAAGAAUAAUAGCAACAAUCUAGCAUGAAAGAAAAUGCAAUGCAGUCAAUUACUAGCUUCUUGUUUGCCUGAAUUACUUUUAGACUAGCGUCGCUGAGUUCGUCUGAAAAGAAGCAUAAGCUGCGUAUCAAAAAAAGCUGCAUUUUGAAGCUUUUUUCUUCGGCUUCUUUUGGUGUGAUUAAGUGCUUUCAGACUGAUUGCCAAACGCAUCACAAAAAGAAAGAAGCGGGCUUCUGAGCUUUUAAGCCCAGAAGCUCCAUUCCCAGACACCCACCUAAUAUACAUAUCUUAGGGAGCCGGAUUCUUAAACAAGUAUGAUGCAUAAAUAUGUCACAAGAAAAAGGCCUGGACCUGGAUAUCAACUUUCGGUCGAGACCAGCCGUCAUCCUCGAAAUAUACUUCUUCAAUACCACCUAUGAUUGAAAGUUGAAACAGCUGUAAGAAAACACUCCUUGCUGGUCCUCUUGCUUAAGCAAAAACACUAACUCAACAAGCAGAGAAGAAGUCAUUGAACGUUAUUAAAUUAAAUGUUGCAGAAACAAAUAGCCAGGGCGCGAGAAGUAUUACCAUGGUAUUCCCAUAUAUCAAUGCUGACAUGAUUGCCGAUGAGAAACAGAAACACAUCUUUCUUCUAAGCAAAUUUCAUAUUGGGAUGCAGCUUCUGAGAAUAUUAUCAGAUUUAUAACAGAGACAACCCAUCUAAACAUGAGCUAACCAAAGGGAUAAAAGUUUUGAGGACCAUAGUCCAAUAAACU
rnacentral:lncRNA from 1 species